ACUCCUGCGGGAGGCAGCAGUGGGGAAUUUUGGACAAUGGGCGAAAGCCUGAUCCAGCAAUGCCGCGUGAGUGAAGAAGGCCUUCGGGUUGUAAAGCUCUUUUGUCAGGGAAGAAACGGUGAGAGCUAAUAUCUCUUGCUAAUGACGGUACCUGAAGAAUAAGCACCGGCUAACUACGUGCCAGCAGCCUCGGUAAUACGUAGGGUGCAAGCGUUAAUCGGAAUUACUGGGCGUAAAGCGUGCGCAGGCGGUUUUGUAAGUCUGAUGUGAAAUCCCCGGGCUCAACCUGGGAAUUGCAUUGGAGACUGCAAGGCUAGAAUCUGGCAGAGGGGGGUAGAAUUCCACGUGUAGCAGUGAAAUGCGUAGAUAUGUGGAGGAACACCGAUGGCGAAGGCAGCCCCCUGGGUCAAGAUUGACGCUCAUGCACGAAAGCGUGGGGAGCAAACAGGAUUAGAUACCCCAGUAGUCCCA
rnacentral:rRNA from 1 species